GUGAGGACAAGGUUCCUGGCAAUGAGGACAAGGUUUCUCGCGUUGAGGACAAGGUUCCUGGCGGUGAGGACAAGGUUCCUGCCGGUGAGGACAAGGUUCCUGGCGGUGAGGACAAGGUUCCUUCCUGUGAGGACAAGGUUGCUGGCAGUGAGGACAAGGUUCCUGGCGGUGAGGACAAGGUUCCUGCCGGUGAGGACAAGGCUCCUGGCGGUGAGGACAAGGUUCCUGCCGGUGAGGACAAGGUUUUACGCGGUGAGCACAAGGUUCCUGGCGGUGAGGACAAGGUUCUUGGCGGUGAGGACAAGGUUCCUGGUGGUGAGGACAAGGUUCCUGGCGGUGUGGACAAGGUUUUACGCGGUGAGCACAAGGUUCCUGGCGGUGAGGACAAGGUUCCUGGCGGUGAGGACAAGG